rnacentral:misc_RNA from 1 species
AAAGUCGUAACAAGGUUUCCGUAGGUGAACCUGCGGAAGGAUCAUUAACACGUAUCCAACGUUAAACCCCCCUGUGAACCUUCAGCGUGCUCUUUUGACCCGUUGACGCAGCAAUCCCUGGUAAAUCAUGGUAAACAGCUUUGAUUCAGGGACCUCUGCACAAUGAGAAGUUACAGUCAAAAUUUUGAGCGCUAGAGUCAGUGGCCCGGUCUCCCCAAGCAACCAGCGUCUGAAAGCGUCGCUGGAAGUGUAAGGAGAACGCUUUACGAUCACUAGAGGCCGACACGGCCGGUGACCGAGUCACAGGGUCACCAUGCCCCUUACCUCACCCCGAGUAAACCGAUCCGGCUCGCGAUAAUCCGCAGGCUAAAAAAUACUUGAACAACUGUUAACAAUGGAUAUCUUGGUUCUC